CCUACGGGAGGCUGCAGUGGGGAAUAUUGCACAAUGGAGGAAACUCUGAUGCAGCAACGCCGCGUGGAGGAUGACGCAUUUCGGUGUGUAAACUCCUUUUAUAGGGGAAGAUAAUGACGGUACCCUAUGAAUAAGCACCGGCUAACUCCGUGCCAGCAGCCGCGGUAAUACGGAGGGUGCAAGCGUUACUCGGAAUCACUGGGCGUAAAGGAUGCGUAGGCUGGAAAUCAAGUCGAAAGUGAAAUCCAACGGCUCAACCGUUGAACUGCUUUCGAAACUGGUUACCUAGAAUAUGGGAGAGGUAGAUGGAAUUAGUGGUGUAGGGGUAAAAUCCGUAGAUAUCACUAGGAAUACCGAUUGCGAAGGCGAUCUACUGGAACAUUAUUGACGCUGAGGCAUGAAAGCGUGGGGAGCAAACAGGAUUAGAUACCCCAGUAGUC
rnacentral:rRNA from 1 species